rnacentral:rRNA from 1 species
UACGUAGGGUGCGAGCGUUGUCCGGAAUUAUUGGGCGUAAAGAGUUCGUAGGCGGUUCUUGAAGUCCGCUGUGAAAGCCCCGGGCUUAACCUGGGAAUGGCAGUGGAAACUGGGGGACUUGAAUUGAGCAGAGGGGGGUGGAAUGCCGUGUGUAGCAGUGAAAUGCGUAGAGAUGCGGCGGAACACCGAUGGCGAAGGCAGCCCCCUGGGCUUAAAUUGACGCUGAGGCACGAAAGCGUGGGGAGCAAACAGG